AUUUAGACACAAGCGAGAGGAUCAUGGCGGAUGGCCCCAGGUGUAAGCGCAGAAAGCAGGCGAACCCGCGGCGCAAUAACGGAAAGCACUAUCAAGAAAGACUAAUGGAGUGACUAUCAAAAGGAAGUCAAUGGACAACCUUAAACUUCCACCACAAGAGGAAUAUAAAGAGGUCCCUCCUGCACCAAGAAAGAUCUGCAGAUCUUUUUCAGUGUUCUUGGAGGUGUGGGGUGUGAGAACUUGAUCAGUUUGUGUCAGCCACCUUGUUCUCUAAAGGUA
rnacentral:lncRNA from 1 species